rnacentral:rRNA from 1 species
UGCAGUCGACGGUGAAGCCCAGCUUGCUGGGUGGAUCAGUGGCGAACGGGUGAGUAACACGUGAGCAACCUGCCCCCUACUUCGGGAUAAGCCUUGGAAACGAGGUCUAAUACCGGAUAUGAGCACCUACCGCAUGGUGGGUGUUGGAAAGUUUUUCGGUGGGGGAUGGGCUCGCGGCCUAUCAGCUUGUUGGUGGGGUAAUGGCCUACCAAGGCGUCGACGGGUAGCCGGCCUGAGAGGGCGACCGGCCACACUGGGACUGAGACACGGCCCAGACUCCUACGGGAGGCAGCAGUGGGGAAUAUUGCACAAUGGGCGAAAGCCUGAUGCAGCGACGCCACGUGAGGGAUGACGGCCUUCGGGUUGUAAACCUCUUUCAGCAGGGAAGAAGCGAAAGUGACGGUACCUGCAGAAGAAGCGCCGGCUAACUACGUGCCAGCAGCCGCGGUAAUACGUAGGGCGCAAGCGUUGUCCGGAAUUAUUGGGCGUAAAGAGCUCGUAGGCGGUCUGUCGCGUCUGGUGUGAAAUCCCAUGGCUCAACUGUGGGCUUGCAUCGGGUACGGGCAGACUAGAGUGCUGUAGGGGAGACUGGAAUUCCUGGUGUAGCGGUGGAAUGCGCAGAUAUCAGGAGGAACACCGAUGGCGAAGGCAGGUCUCUGGGCAGUUACUGACGCUGAGGAGCGAAAGCAUGGGGAGCGAACAGGAU